AGGGAUUGCCCUAGUAACGGCGAGUGAAGCGGCAACAGCUCAAAUUUGAAAUCUGGCUCUUUUAGGGUCCGAGUUGUAAUUUGCAGAGGGCGCUUUGGCAUUGGCAGCGGUCCAAGUUCUUUGGAACAGGACGUCACAGAGGGUGAGAAUCCCGUACGUGGUCGCUAGCCUUUGCUAUGUAAAGCCCCUUCGACGAGUCGAGUUGUUUGGGAAUGCAGCUCUAAAUGGGAGGUAAAUUUCUUCUAAAGCUAAAUAUUGGCCAGAGACCGAUAGCGCACAAGUAGAGUGAUCGAAAGAUGAAAAGCACUUUGGAAAGAGAGUCAAAUAGCACGUGAAAUUGUUGAAAGGGAAGCGCUUGUAGUCAGACUUGCCUGUAGUUGCUUAUCUGGAAUUUUUUCCAGUGCACUCUUCUGCAGGCAGGCCAGCAUCAGUUUGGGCGGUUGGAUAAAGGUCUCUGUCACGUACCUCCCUUCGGGGUUGGCCUUAUAGGGGAGACGUCAUGCAACCAGCCUGGACUGAGGUCCGCGCAUUUGCUAGGAUGCUGGCAUAAUGGCUUUAAGCGGCCCGUCUUGAAACACGGACCAAGGAGUCUAACAUCUAUGCGAGUGUUUGGGUGUCAAGCCCAGACGCGUAAUGAAAGUGAACGGAGGUAGGAACCCUUUGGGUGCACUAUCGACCGAUCCUGAUGUCUUCGGAAGGAUUUGAGUAAGAGCAUGGCUGUUGGGACCCGAAAGAUGGUGAACUAUGCUUGAAUAGGGUGAAGCCAGAGGAAACUCUGGUGGAGGCUCGCAGCGGUUCUGACGUGCAAAUCGAUCGUC
rnacentral:rRNA from 1 species